GGUGGUCCGUGGACACCCGGUAACGGGCGGAGCGAGACCAUACUAAUCGGUCGAGAUCUUUCUC
rnacentral:rRNA from 1 species